rnacentral:rRNA from 1 species
AACGAACGCUGGCGGCAGGCCUAAUACAUGCAAGUCGAACGCACUCUUCGGGAGUGAGUGGCAGACGGGUGAGUAACGCGUGGGAACCUUCCUAGUAGUACGGAAUAACUCCGGGAAACCGGUGCUAAUACCGUAUAAGCCCUCCGGGGGAAAGAUUUAUCGCUACUAGAUGGGCCCGCGUCGGAUUAGCUUGUUGGUGAGGUAAUGGCUCACCAAGGCUUCGAUCCGUAGCUGGUCUGAGAGGACGACCAGUCACACCGGAACUGAGACACGGUCCGGACUCCUACGGGAGGCAGCAGUGGGGAAUAUUGGACAAUGGGCGAAAGCCUGAUCCAGCGACG